GCCAGUGUGGUAUAGUGGUUAGAGUACUGAACUAUGACUCAGGAGACCAGGGUUCGAAUCCCCAUUCAGCCC